GGAAAAGAAACCAACAGGGAUUGCCCUAGUAACGGCGAGUGAAGCGGCAACAGCUCAAAUUUGAAAUCUGGCCUCGGCCCGAGUUGUAAUUUGCAGAGGAUGCUUCUGGCGCGGUGCCUUCCGAGUUCCCUGGAACGGGACGCCACAGAGGGUGAGAGCCCCGUAUGGUCGGACACCAAGCCUGUGUGAAGCUCCUUCGACGAGUCGAGUAGUUUGGGAAUGCUGCUCUAAAUGGGAGGUAAAUCUCUUCUAAAGCUAAAUACCGGCCAGAGACCGAUAGCGCACAAGUAGAGUGAUCGAAAGAUGAAAAGCACCUUGAAAAGGGGGUUAAAUAGUACGUGAAAUUGUUGAAAGGGAAGCACUUGUGACCAGACUUGGGCCGGGCGGCUCAUCAGGGGUUCUCCCCUGUGCACUCCGCCCGGCACAGGCCAGCAUCGGUUCUCGUGGGGGGAUAAGACCGUCAGGAACGUAGCACCCUCCGGGGUGUGUUAUAGCCUGGCGGACGAUACCCCCGUGGGGACCGAGGUUCGCGCUCCGCAAGGAUGCUGGCGUAAUGGUCACCAGUGACCCGU
rnacentral:sRNA from 1 species